rnacentral:lncRNA from 1 species
CCCCCCUUAAGAACAUUCGUCCCCGAAUGUACCUCAACUAGCACAUAACAUGGCAUAAAACAUAACAUACAUACAAAGCACAUAAACACAAGGAGAUCUAACCUUAAAAGAGAUGAGGGUACUGCUGGAGCAUGGACUCCCGUGUCUCCCAAGUGCAUUCCUCCAAAUUGUGGUGGUUCCACAGGACUUUUACCAUCGGGAUUUCCUUGUUCCUUAACUUU